rnacentral:rRNA from 1 species
GCGUCUGGAAAGGCGCGCGAUACAGGGUGACAGCCCCGUACACAAAAAUGCACAUGCUGUGAGCUCGAUGAGUAGGGCGGGACACGUGGUAUCCUGUCUGAAUAUGGGGGGACCAUCCUCCAAGGCUAAAUACUCCUGACUGACCGAUAGUGAACCAGUACCGUGAGGGAAAGGCGAAAAGAACCCCGGCGAGGGGAGUGAAAAAGAACCUGAAACCGUGUACGUACAAGCAGUGGGAGCACAGAGCAAUCUGUGUGACUGCGUACCUUUUGUAUAAUGGGUCAGCGACUUAUAUUCUGUAGCAAGGUUAACCGAAUAGGGGAGCCGAAGGGAAACCGAGUCUUAACUGGGCGUUAAGUUGCAGGGUAUAGACCCGAAACCCGGUGAUCUAGCCAUGGGCAGGUUGAAGGUUGGGUAACACUAACUGGAGGACCGAACCGACUAAUGUUGAAAAAUUAGCGGAUGACUUGUGGCUGGGGGUGAAAGGCCAAUCAAACCGGGAGAUAGCUGGUUCUCCCCGAAAGCUAUUUAGGUAGCGCCUCGUGAAUUCAUCUCCGGGGGUAGAGCACUGUUUCGGCAAGGGGGUCAUCCCGACUUACCAACCCGAUGCAAACUGCGAAUACCGGAGAAUGUUAUCACGGGAGACACACGGCGGGUGCUAACGUCCGUCGUGAAGAGGGAAACAACCCAGACCGCCAGCUAAGGUCCCAAAGUCAUGGUUAAGUGGGAAACGAUGUGGGAAGGCCCAGACAGCCAGGAUGUUGGCUUAGAAGCAGCCAUCAUUUAAAGAAAGCGUAAUAGCUCACUGGUCGAGUCGGCCUGCGCGGAAGAUGUAACGGGGCUAAACCAUGCACCGAAGCUGCGGCAGCGACACUGUGUGUUGUUGGGUAGGGGAGCGU